UACGGGGGGGGUAAGCGUUGUUCGGAAUUACUGGGCGUAAAGGGCUCGUAGGCGGCCAACUAAGUCAGACGUGAAAUCCCUCAGCUUAACUGGGGAACUGCGUCUGAUACUGGAUGGCUUGGAUUCGGGAGAGGAAUGCGGAAUUCCAGGUGUAGCGGUGAAAUGCGUAGAUAUCUGGAGGAACACCGGUGGCGAAGGCGGCAUUCUGGACCGACAUUGACGCUGAGGAGCGAAAAGCCAGGGGAGCAAAGC
rnacentral:rRNA from 1 species